UUACGGUUUAUGUAUAUAUUGAGAAUCGUUUUACAGCAUACUUUUGAAGAAGAAAAUAAUUUUGAUUUACAGUGAGAAAACAUAGAAUAAAAAAUUACAUGUGAAGUUUUUGUUAAAUUGUAUAUUACAACCGUCCUAAAACGACAUGCAGUUCAUCUUAUUCCCUAUUUCUUUUAUGGCAAUACAACUUGCGCGCGAAGUUCAAUAAACUGGCAAAACAACGGAUUGAAUUCACAAGUUUUGAAGGCGAUUGAUUAACAUCUAAAACAAUAUGCGGUCUGUUGAUGCUGUAAAGAAUAUAUCAAUUCAAAUCACCAAGAAACAAGGCGGUAAAAAAAACGUGCAGUAGAGAAAGCAGGUGAUCUUACAUACCAAUAAAGAUGCAGGCUCCGGAAUAUCAGCUUCAGUUGCCAUUUCAUGCAAGACGAGUCGAACUAUAGGCAAGUCUUGAUCUAAACUCUCGUAAAAUAUAAGCUUUUAUUGGCUGCAAAUUUAGAGACUUUCAGAACUUUGAAAUGUGUGGAUCAUUAGGUACCUGUAAUAAUCUGCUGAUGUUUUAUAUGCUAAAGUUGGCUAAGUAAGUGACAAAUCGCCACUUGAUAUAUUUAUGCUAAUGUUAUUGGUGAGUUGGCAAGAUAUGCAUGGUCCUACAGAUUGGCCAUUCACAUGCCUUAGUCACUAGCGCAGUUCCUAGUGAAAUCGCACAGUUACCUUGGAUCAAAUCGUUAGUUCUUUUAGACUAAAAAUAAUUGAGUGGUUUCCACCAACAGAAAGAAAUUGGCAUGCCCUUUUUAACAGUUUGCUUUUUGUCAGGAGGCUAUAUAUGUUGUCAUGUGGGGAUCCAGCUCCUUUCUUGAAUAUAAUUGGUUGGAGAUUA